rnacentral:rRNA from 1 species
GUUGAACGCUGGCGGCAUGCCUUACACAUGCAAGUCGAACGGCAGCACGGGAGCAAUCCUGGUGGCGAGUGGCGAACGGGUGAGUAAAGUAUCGGAACGUGCCCAGUCGUGGGGGAUAACGUAGCGAAAGUUACGCUAAUACCGCAUACGAUCUAUGGAUGAAAGCGGGGGAUCGCAAGACCUCGCGCGAUUGGAGCGGCCGAUAUCAGAUUAGGUCGUUGGUGGGGUAAAGGCUCACCAAGCCGACGAUCUGUAGCUGGUCUGAGAGGACGACCAGCCACACUGGGACUGAGACACGGCCCAGACUCCUACGGGAGGCAGCAGUGGGGAAUUUUGGACAAUGGGCGCAAGCCUGAUCCAGCCAUGCCGCGUGCAGGAUGAAGGCCUUCGGGUUGUAAACUGCUUUUGUACGGAACGAAAAGGUUUGACUUAAUACGUUGGACUCAUGACGGUACCGUAAGAAUAAGCACCGGCUAACUACGUGCCAGCCGCCGCGGUAA